AUUGAACGCUGGCGGCGUGCUUUACACAUGCAAGUCGAACGGUGAAGGUGGAGCUUGCUCCGCCGGAUCAGUGGCGAACGGGUGAGUAACACGUGGGCAACCUGCCCCUAACUUUGGGAUAACUACUCGAAAGAGUAGCUAAUACCGGAUAUGAAGUCUGUAGGCAUCUAUGGAUUUGGAAAGUUUUUCGGUUAGGGAUGGGCCCGCGGCCUAUCAGCUUGUUGGUGAGGUAGUGGCUCACCAAGGCGACGACGGGUAGCCGGCCUGAGAGGGCGACCGGCCACACUGGGACUGAGACACGGCCCAGACUCCUACGGGAGGCAGCAGUGGGGAAUAUUGCGCAAUGGGCGAAAGCCUGACGCAGCAACGCCGCGUGCGGGAUGAAGGCCUUCGGGUUGUAAACCGCUUUCAGCAGGGAAGAAGCGAAAGUGACGGUACCUGCAGAAGAAGCACCGGCUAACUACGUGCCAGCAGCCGCCGUAA
rnacentral:rRNA from 1 species